GCACUGCUGACGACUCCCAACUAGGACGAAACAACUGUCCAGUGC
rnacentral:hammerhead_ribozyme from 1 species